rnacentral:rRNA from 1 species
GACGAACGCUGGCGGCGUGCUUAACACAUGCAAGUCGAACGGAAAGGCCCUGCUUUUGUGGGGUGCUCGAGUGGCGAACGGGUGAGUAACACGUGAGUAACCUGCCCUUGACUUUGGGAUAACUUCAGGAAACUGGGGCUAAUACCGGAUAGGAGCUCCUGCUGCAUGGUGGGGGUUGGAAAGUUUCGGCGGUUGGGGAUGGACUCGCGGCUUAUCAGCUUGUUGGUGGGGUAGUGGCUUACCAAGGCUUUGACGGGUAGCCGGCCUGAGAGGGUGACCGGCCACAUUGGGACUGAGAUACGGCCCAGACUCCUACGGGAGGCAGCAGUGGGGAAUAUUGCACAAUGGGCGGAAGCCUGAUGCAGCAACGCCGCGUGCGGGAUGACGGCCUUCGGGUUGUAAACCGCUUUCGCCUGUGACGAAGCGUGAGUGACGGUAAUGGGUAAAGAAGCACCGGCUAACUACGUGCCAGCAGCCGCGGUGAUACGUAGGGUGCGAGCGUUGUCCGGAUUUAUUGGGCGUAAAGGGCUCGUAGGUGGUUGAUCGCGUCGGAAGUGUAAUCUUGGGGCUUAACCCUGAGCGUGCUUUCGAUACGAGUUGACUUGAGGAAGGUAGGGGAGAAUGGAAUUCCUGGUGGAGCGGUGGAAUGCGCAGAUAUCAGGAGGAACACCAGUGGCGAAGGCGGUUCUCUGGGCCUUUCCUGACGCUGAGGGGCGAAAGCGUGGGGAGCGAACAGGCUUAGAUACCCUGGUAGUCCACGCUGUAAACGGUGGGUACUAGGUGUGGGGUCCAUUCCACGGGUUCCGUGCCGUAGCUAACGCUUUAAGUACCCCGCCUGGGGAGUACGGCCGCAAGGCUAAAACUCAAAGGAAUUGACGGGGCCCCGCACAAGCGGCGGAGCAUGCGGAUUAAUUCGAUGCAACGCGUAGAACCUUACCUGGGUUUGACAUGGAUCGGGAGUGCUCAGAGAUGGGUGUGCCUCUUUUGGGGUCGGUUCACAGGUGGUGCAUGGCUGUCGUCAGCUCGUGUCGUGAGAUGUUGGGUUAAGUCCCGCAACGAGCGCAACCCUUGUUCACUGUUGCCAGCACGUUAUGGUGGGGACUCAGUGGAGACCGCCGGGGUCAACUCGGAGGAAGGUGGGGAUGACGUCAAGUCAUCAUGCCCCUUAUGUCCAGGGCUUCACGCAUGCUACAAUGGCUGGUACAGAGAGUGGCGAGCCUGUGAGGGUGAGCGAAUCUCGGAAAGCCGGUCUCAGUUCGGAUUGGGGUCUGCAACUCGACCUCAUGAAGUCGGAGUCGCUAGUAAUCGCAGAUCAGCAACGCUGCGGUGAAUACGUUCCCGGGGCU